AACGAACGCUGGCGGCAUGCCUAACACAUGCAAGUCGAACGAGACCUUCGGGUCUAGUGGCGCACGGGUGCGUAACGCGUGGGAACCUGCCCUUAGGUUCGGAAUAACUCCCCGAAAGGGGUGCUAAUACCGGAUAAUGUCUUCGGACCAAAGAUUUAUCGCCUUUGGAUGGGCCCGCGUUGGAUUAGCUAGUUGGUAGGGUAAAAGCCUACCAAGGCGACGAUCCAUAGCUGGUCUGAGAGGAUGAUAAGCCACACUGGGACUGAGACACGGCCCAGACUCCUACGGGAGGCAGCAGUGGGGAAUAUUGGACAAUGGGCGAAAGCCUGAUCAAGCAAUGCCGCGUGAGUGAUGAAGGCCUUAGGGUUGUAAAGCUCUUUUACCCGGGAUGAUAAUGACAGUACCGGGAGAAUAAGCACCGGCUAACUCCGUG
rnacentral:rRNA from 1 species